UGGCGAACGGGUGAGUAACGCGUGGGUAACCUGCCUCAUACAGGGGGAUAACAGUUAGAAAUGGCUGCUAAUACCGCAUAAGACCACGGUACUGCAUGGUACAGUGGUAAAAACUCCGGUGGUAUGAGAUGGACCCGCGUCUGAUUAGGUAGUUGGUGAGGUAACGGCCCACCAAGCCGACGAUCAGUAGCCGACCUGAGAGGGUGACCGGCCACAUUGGGACUGAGACACGGCCCAG
rnacentral:rRNA from 1 species